UGGAUCCAUGAUGAGUGUCUUGGACUGUCUGACUUGAGAGUUCUGAUUAAACUCUGUAGCUCUGAGGUCGUU
ensembl:snoRNA